UUGGUUUUGACAUGGUCAAAACUAAUGUGGAUAUUUCUUUUACAUAAAAAUUCCAACUACAUGCAUACGUGUAAAAUAGUUUAAAUUAAAAAUUAAAAAAAGAAUAAUCUCUUCUUCUCCCACCUGAAGCAUUCUCUCUUUGCUUCUAGCGAUUAUUUCAACAUCUACAUCAUCUUCCAUCACCAUCUUUCAACACAUUCAUCUUCAAAAUCUCACCCAAAAAAUACCAUUUUCAUACCCUUCACCACCAUCAACCUUUAUCAAAAUUCCAUCACAUAUCAAAUCUUACUUUUGUUUUUUUGUUUUGUUUGAAGAACCACUUAAACGAUCAAGCACCAAUUUGCAUUGAUUUUGAUAGCAUGGGUCAAGAUUUUUGUGAGUUUUUCGAUUUCUUAUUGACAAUACAACGACAUCACCGACGUCAAAAGAAAUAACUUCAACCAAUUAAAUUUGGGGUAAUUUUUUUUUGGGUUUGAGUUUAGAUUUGAAGUUAUGUUUUCUUAAAUUUCUGGUUUGGAAUUUGGAUUUGAAUUGGUUUUUUAUCAUCAUUCUCUGUCGCUUUUGGGUUCAGAUUAUCCAUAGAUUCAGGUUUAUCAAACUGGAUUUAAAACAAUCCAACACCAAAAAAUUAGUCAAAUGGAAUUUUGGUUUGAGUACUGGAAAACUUUUAUCUUCCUAGUAGCUAGAUAAUAAGGAAGCAAAUCUAGAUUUGGAGAUCCAAUUAAAAGUUUGGCGUCGGUGUUUACAAAAGAUUUUAUCCGGAUAUGAAGUUAUAAAAUUUGGGUUUGGUUUAUGUGAUUUUGAUUGUUGAUGAUGAAGAUUAGGGUUGAAGUCUUGAAGAAGAAGAAAAAUGCUGGGGUUGAAGAUGAAGGUGAUGGUGAAGUAGAAGAUUUUUCAAUGUUUAUUAUUUAUUUUUUAGUUUUAAUUUCCGUUUUCUAAUUUUUGAAUUUUGAAUUUUAAUUAAUUUCCAUUUGUAUGCACAAUUGCCAAUUUUUUCAUAAAAAAAAAAGGAUCCACAUCAGCUUUGACCAGGUCAAAAUCAAGGGGGUCAUGGUUUUGCAAAGGGGGUGAAACUUGGGAGAUCAAAUGUGAUAUUUUCAAAUUUAAGGGGCCAAAAUCGCAAGUUUUGAAAACUUUAGAGUUCAAAAAUACAUUUUAGCCUGUUUUAUUUAUCGACAUUUAAUAUGUGUGAUUCUGAUCACUAUACUAUUCAACUAAAUAAAUUAUAUUUAUUAUAACAACCCUAGCUCUUGCAUUUUUAUUGCUUUGUUCUUUUACUUAUGGGUCGUGUUAACUUGUGCCAUCAGGGCACAAGUUAAGAAUCUAAAAAGAGAAAUAAAACAUAAGUUUUGUAUUGAAAAUAUAAAUUUUUAACUUUUCAAGAUAUUGAAUGCACAAUUUUCAAAAAUAAAUUUUUAUAUUUGGCUUCUAAACUUAUGUCUUAAAGGCAUAAAGUAACAUUUCCCUUUACUUAUUGAUAUUUAUUCAUUCCCCUCUAUAUCAAACAAACACACAUUCGGAAACACACAAGGUAACAUGUUCCCGUAAUUUUCGGGCAAUAGCCGUCGAACCAGUUAGAAAGCAAAGAUAUGAAGCCAAGUCAUUGAGGCAAAAGCCACAGACAUCAUGUUUCUCUUUGCCCCGCUUGAAAAGAAAAGAAAAAACGUCACCCUCACUUUUAACCCAGGUGAAUGGAAAAAUGUGAAGCUAUGCGAGUCAGACACAAUUAUAGAAUUGAAUAUUAGGUCAUUCAAUUUGUAACAGAAUUGAAGGAUCAAUUCUUAGUUGUUAAGAUCCAAGUAUUGCUUAUGGACCAUCUUCCUUCUAUCAACAAGGUGUAUUCACUUGUUAUUCAUUCAAGAAAGCAACAAUGUUUCUCUUCCAGUAUGGUAUAUGACACACAAGAAAGUCACAAAGACGUGGCAAAUCAUUUUUGGCGUGCUUUCACACAAGAGUGGUUCAAGCUUCUGAACAUUUUGCAAACGUGAUGAACACACCGUUGAACUUUAUCACCAAAAUAUGGUUAUCAUAGUUUAAAUAAUGUGAGAGUUAACUUAAAAUCUGAAAACUGGAGAAUCGUGCCACGAUGGAGAAGCUCGUUCCGCGAUUGUUGAAGCAAGUUUUUGAAGCAGUCACUGGAAAAAUCGUGCCACGAUGAAAUCGCAACGUGGCACGAUGGUGCGAUUGAGGAUAAAAUAAAAACGUAUUU